rnacentral:rRNA from 1 species
UACGUAGGGUGCAAGCGUUAAUCGGAAUUACUGGGCGUAAAGCGUGCGCAGGCGGUUGUGCAAGACAGAUGUGAAAUCCCCGGGCUUAACCUGGGAACUGCAUUUGUGACUGCACGGCUAGAGUAUGUGAGAGGGAAGCGGAAUUUCUGGUGUAGCAGUGAAAUGCGUAGAUAUCAGAAGGAACAUCAGUGGCGAAGGCGGCUUCCUGGACCAAUACUGACGAUCAGGUGCGAAAGCGUGGGGAGCAAACAGG